UAAGGAAUAUUGGACAAUGGUCGCAAGACUGAUCCAGCCAUGCCGCGUGCAGGAAGACGGCCCUAUGGGUUGUAAACUGCUUUUGUACCAGAGAAAACCUAUCUACGUGUAGAUAGCUGAUAGUAUGGUAAGAAUAAGCAUCGGCUAACUUCGUGCCAGCAGCCGCGGUAAGACGAAGGAUGCAAGCGUUAUCCGGAUUCAUUGGGUUUAAAGGGUGCGCAGGCGGGAUGUUAAGUCGGCGGUGAAAUUUUGCAGCUCAACUGUAAAAGUGCCUUCGAUACUGGCUUCCUUGAGUGUAGAUGAAGUCGGCGGAAUUUGUGGUGUAGCGGUGAAAUGCUUAGAUAUCACGAGGAACUCCGAUUGCGCAGGCAGCUUACUAAACUACAACUGACGCUCAUGCACGAAGGCGUGGGGAUCAAACA
rnacentral:rRNA from 1 species